UACGUAGGUGGCAAGCGUUGUCCGGAUUUACUGGGCGUAAAGAGCGCGCAGGCGGUCAGAUAAGUCGAAUGUGAAAGCCCCCGGCUCAACUGGGGAGGGUCACGCGAUACUGAUCGACUCGAAGGCAGGAGAGGGUAGUGGAAUUCCCGGUGUAGUGGUGAAAUGCGUAGAUAUCGGGAGGAACACCAGUGGCGAAGGCGACUACCUGGCCUGUUUCUUGACGCUGAGGCGCGAAAGCUAGGGGAGCAAACGGGG
rnacentral:rRNA from 1 species